rnacentral:ncRNA from 1 species
UAAGAAACGUUGAUGAGGAGAAGUAGAAGAGGUUUCCCAUACACAGAGAAAAUCACCCCGGCUGAAAGUGAUUAUUUGGGACCGCUUUGAAAUGCACCUCUGAGUCUUCUGCCGAAACGAGUAGGCUGAAGCGGUUACCUUCCGUUAGCAAGGCUGAAGAGGGGAAGCAAUUUUUCCCAAGCAGAGUGGAACCACGCGGAACGCGUCUCUGUG